CCUACGGGAGGCAGCAGUCGAGAAUCAUUCACAAUGGGGGAAACCCUGAUGGUGCGACGCCGCGUGGGGGAAUGAAGGUCUUCGGAUUGUAAACCACUGUCAUGUGGGAGGAAAUUAAAAAGAUAGUACCACAAGAGGAAGAGACGGCACACGCCUGGACAGCAGCCGAGGGAAUACAAGGGUCUGAAGCGUUGUUCGGAAUGACUGGGGGUAAAGGGUGCGUGGGCUGUUUGGGAAGUGGUGUGUGAAAGGCGCGGGCUCAACCCGCGGACGGCACAUGAUACUGCGAGACUAGAGUAAAGGAGGGGGAACCGGAAUUCUCGGUGUAGCAGUGAAAUGCGUAGAUAUCGGGAGGAACACUCGUGGCGAAGGCGGGUUCCUGGACAUUAACUGACGCUGAGGCACGAAGGCCAGGGGAGCGAAAGGGAUUAGAUACCCCAGUAGUC
rnacentral:rRNA from 1 species